CGGCAGUCUCUGCAGCUCCGCGACCUGAACAGGUCCCCUCCCCUUCUCUCCAACUCAAGGCUCCUGUUUCCCUACCCUCCGGGGCACCCCGAUGGAGAAGGUGCCGCGGGUUGACUCCUCAAGUGCAUUGUAUGGGUGGGUGUCAGUUGACGAAGGCAUUUUUGCACACAGUAUUGCUGCCUGAGAGCUCAGAGACGCAGUCAGCAGCCUCCCAUGAUAUAUCCAUUGCUGGACACUCUACCUCAUCAGACCAUACAGGGGAACCUGAAUGUCUGAAUGCUCCUGAACAUUAAAAAAAGAACACAGCCCACCUCCCUCCAUAUUCAGAUUAAUCAUGUCAAGGAGAGGUGCUAAUGUUAUAUGUGGAGGUGGUAGUUGUUUCUUUCUUGAUUCUCCAUCUGUAGCUUGAAGUGGUACAGUCCAGCAACAGACACAUGUAUUCUGGUCACAUAGCUUGGUUCUUAAUAAUUGACUGUUCCCUUUGUUGCCUUAUGUCCUGGUUAUUUUCUGUGUUUUUCUGCUUCCAUCUAUUCGCAAUCGUCCCUCCCUCACCCAUAACUUAAAUUUUUGUGUGUGAUGUAAACGCAUGCAUGCACGCACAGACACACACUCCAUGCGCACACAAUUAAGAAUACUGUAUCCAGAGGACUACAUGGGCUAUUACUACCACCAAUCAGACUAGCAUGGAGGCAUAUUUGCACGUAAUAUGGAACUGUGGAUCUAGGGCUGUAGCUAUAAUUGAGCAGGUGGGUUCAAAGAACCCAGGGUCCCCAAUUCCUGAGGGCCUCCCCCAGCUCCACCCCUCCCUAUUUUCUUCAUUAUCUUCCUCACUCCAAGUUGUCACUGAGGAGAGGGGUGAACACAGUCCCCCUCUCCCCUAGCUACUCCACUGCGUGGGUCCAAUGGACACACAGUUCUGCACCCCACCCCCACCACCCACUCUCCUGUCUGAAAUUGGAUGUAAUGGAGGGCACUCUCUCUGCAGUCAGGAAGUGGGAACUGGCUGGGCUUCCAGCUUGCAUGAAGGACAACCUGCACAGCCAAUCAUGGCCAGAGAGAGGGAGGAGCUUCCUCCUUCAACUCUGGUUACAGAGAAUGCGACCUCCAGUUCUGCAUUCGCUUGUAACGCUCCCCAACUGAAACCUUGGGUUGGAGUGGCCAAACUCAGUACAAGAUGAGGGUUCAAAAUGGAGUGUGCAUAGCAGGUUGAUUUCCAAAUGGGACUGGAGUUGCACACAUUCGGAUAUACAGGUUUGGCAACCUCUGCCCACUUUAUCUCUGGUUUCCCGUUAUGCGUGAAUGCGGCUGAUAGUCUUGAGCUUCCAGUACUGAACUGAAAGCUGCCAUUUGUGUAAUUGUGUGGCAGGAUCAUGGCCAGAUUGAGUACGCUGCUCUGCUUCUGCAUUUCUAUAGUGCAGCCUCUAGUUGUCUGCGGUUGCUGUUGGUUGCUAUGUUCACUUGGGGGGAAAAGCACCACCAAUAAAACUGCAUAGGAUUUAGUUCUGGGACUGCUGGACUACUAUAGUGUGAUUUGGUAUUAUUUGACUGCAGAAAUCUUUAAGUUAGAUGAUAUAAGAUUUGUAUGGUCUUUAAUCACAUAAGACACAAAGAAUCCGACAUGGAAAUAUUAUAUGCAUUGCCACAACCCAGUAAAAGAAUUAAUAGUUGAUUCAUUGUGAA